AGCCCGCUCCAUACCAUAUGGAAUCAUGGGUAAAAAAAAAAAAAAAAAAAGCUCCUUGACAAUGAACCAAUCUCAUGCAGACCCCGUGGCAAGGUGAGCGGCAGUCAUCUGCUCAGAGAGGGAAAACACACACCCCCUCUCUCUCACACACACACAUAUACCCUCACACACACACACAUAUACCCUCACACACUCUCACACACACACACACACAUAUAUACCCUCACACACUCUCACACACACACACAUAUACCCUCACACACUCUCACACACACAGGACACACAGCCGAGCAGAAUGAUGAGCCUUUUUCCACAUCACCGUACGCCUCGGGUCGCUUCUCCCUUCUCCUUUUUUUCUCUCUCCCCCCUUCCUCGGGUAUAAUUAGGGCUUUAUCGUCAUCCUCACCCGAGAGCAAGAACAAGAAGAAGAAGAGGAAGAGGAAGAAGAAGAGGAAGAAAAAGAAAAAGAGAAGAGAAGAAGCAGUCCAGGGGCAGAACUGAACUGACUCCACAACUUGUAAUGCGUCUUUAUGGUGACUUUAACGGGACGGAGGCAGGUAGAGAGAGAGAGAGAGAGAGAGAGGGAGAGAGAGAGAGAGAGAGAGAGCUCUGGACACAUGGAACUGCUUACACACUAUCAUGUUAGCUUUUGUUUUGGGUUUCCAUCUUUUCCUCUUCCCCCCCCCCCGCUCCAUCCCUCUUUCUUCUCCCCUGAAUGAAUCCCUCCGUCCCUCCUUCUUCUUCAAGCAGGACAGAAAACUCGUGUGUUUUGCCAUAAAUACCUCCACGCCGAAGGAUCCCGUGGAAGCCCGGAGAGACGGUCCAUCGCGCCUGCAAAAGACACAACACGACAACACAGAAUCAAGCCUGUGAAUGCAUCGCUGUUUUUGCAGCCGACCACUGGAUAAUGACAGAUAAAAGCAGCGGAGAACGUCCGACGCGGAGCAGCAGCAGCAGCAGCGUCCCAUCCUGUCGCACAUCAACAAACUUGCUGUAACCUGGCUGGAGUACUCGAGUCCGGACUUGGACCUGGACUUGGACCUGGACUUGGACCUGGACUUGCCACUGGCGUUGCCAAAUACAGCUUUUGGUCUCGACCGAGUCCAGGUGUCUUCACUAUGUUUAUAAUCACAUUGGAGGGAAAGUGCAACACUGGCCACCUGAUAACCAAUCACACACUAGACACUGUUUUUGCUUUUGCAAAUAAUAACCCCAAAAUGAUUGUCUUGAUACUGUCAUGCAUAAGAUUUUUAAUUUUUUCAUCUGUCCUGGACUCGGUCUUGUCUUGAAUUUGAACCUCUUUGGACUCGGCCUUGACCUGGUCUCGACUAGGUGGUCUUGGACUUGUCUUGGACUCAACAAAGGUGGUCUUGGCUACAGCCCUGACUCCUACAUAUAUAUACAGUAUACAAACUGCUGUCCCAGAUGCUGGUGGUGCAUUCAGCUCCCAGUAGGAGGCAGUGUUGUGUUUCUGGGUUUUAUUUAUUUUGUCUUGAAGAGGAAUGUGGACUGAAAUCAGGACAGCUGUUUCUGAUUUGACUCACCUGCUCCCUGACUGUAGCCGACUCUUCCUGCUGUCAUGUUCCAGUGAAUCUGGGUUUCC